GACGAACGCUGGCGGCGUGCCUAACACAUGCAAGUCGAGCGAAGAACUUCGGUUCUUAGCGGCGGACGGGUGAGUAACACGUGGGUAACCUGCCUCAGAGAGGGGGAUGGCCUCCCGAAAGGGAGAUUAAUACCGCAUAAUAUUAGAUCUUCACAUGGAGAUUUAAUUAAAGGAGCAAUCCGCUUUGAGAUGGACCCGCGGCGCAUUAGCUAGUUGGUGAGGUAACGGCUCAUCAAGGCGACGAUGCGUAGCCGACCUGAGAGGGUGAGCGGCCACAUUGGGACUGAGACACGGUCCAGACUCCUACGGGAGGCAGCAGUGGGGAAUAUUGCACAAUGGGCGAAAGCCUGAUGCAGCAACGCCGCGUGAGUGAUGAAGGCCUUCGGGUUGUAAAACUCUGUCUUUGGGGACGAUAAUGACGGUACCCAAGGAGGAAGCCACGGCUAACUACGUGCCAGCCGCCGCAGUAA
rnacentral:rRNA from 1 species